UCUUUGAGUAUCUGACGUACACAAGGCAAAGGGCGCGUUUUGGCGCUGGUGACCGGGGGUGACCGGGGGUGACCGGGGAUGGCCGGGAAGAUGAAAGAGCACUGAAACUGUCCCAUUUCCUGGCACCUCAACCCUUCAUAAAUACGGGUCCAUAUACAGAGGCUCCAGUUUACACAAGACAAAAAUGGCGUGGAGCCUUCAGAUCAGAUUCCAACCCAGCUAACACCUUGACGACAACCCCCAUGAGAGACUGUGAAUCAAAGUAGCCAGAAUCCACAGAUUUAAGGGUUCAAUCCUACAAGACUGCCUCCUCUUGAGUUCCUCUGCCCGGCCGCCCCACUGUCUGGGAAGUGAGAAGCGCCUCUGCCUAGCCGCCCACCAUCUGGGAAGUGAGGAGCACCUCUGCCCGGCCGCCCCACACCACCGCCGCCAUCUGGGAAGUGAGGAGUGCCUCUGCCUGGCCCCCGCAACGUCUGGGAAGUGAGGAGCGCCUUUGCGCGGCUGCUGUGCGACCCUCCAAGUGUGAAGUGACAGCCUUGUGUGUGAUCUUUCUGCCCUCCCCAAGUUUGCAUUUUCGACAUUAAAGUUUACUUUUCAAUUAAAAUUUUUAAAUUGGAGAAUAUAUAAUUUAAAAAAAAAAAAAAAAGACUGCCUCCUCUUAAGAUGCCAGUCACAAGUCCUGGGCUACCAGUAUUUCUGACUAACUGGCUAUAAAUUAGAGGCUCCCACAAACCCCUCCUCAGGUUUGAUAAUUUACUAGAACAGCUCAUAGAACUCAGGAAACACUUUACCUAUGGUACCUAGUUAAUAAUAGAGGAUAUAACUGAGGAACAGCCAGACUGAAGAAAUGCAUAGGGCAAGAUAUGGAAGAGGGUGUGCCAAGCUUCCAUUCCUCUCUGCGUGUGGCAUCCUCCCAGCACCCUGGUAUGUUCACAAACCUGAAGCUUGUUCAAGAGUACAAAAAAUUAGCCGGGUGUGGUGGUGGGUGCCUGUAGUCCCAGCUACUCAGGAGGCUGAGGCAG
rnacentral:lncRNA from 1 species